rnacentral:tRNA from 2 species
GCCCCUGUAGCUCAAUGGAUAGAGCGGCUCCCUUCUAAGGAGUAGAUGAGAGUUCGAUUCCCUCCAGGGGCACCA